rnacentral:misc_RNA from 1 species
GAAAUGCGAUAAGUAAUGUGAAUUGCAGAAUUCCGUGAAUCAUCGAAUCUUUGAACGCACAUUGCGCCCUUUGGUAUUCCUUAGGGCAUGCCUGUUCGAGCGUCAUUUAACCCUUCAAGCCCUGCUUGGUGUUGGGUGCCUGUCCCGCCCCCCGCGCGCGGACUCACCUCAAAUCCAUUGGCGGCCCCCGCACGGCCACGAGCGCAGCAGAAACGCAAACUCGUGUGCCCGGCGGGCGGCUCCCAGAAGCUACAUCACCAUUUUGACCUCGGAUCAGGUAGGGAUACCCGCUGAACUUAA